rnacentral:rRNA from 1 species
UUCCGGUUGAUCCUGCCGGAGGUCACUGCUAUUGGGAUUCGGCUAAGCCAUGCAAGCGGAGGGCGCGGUCGAAAGAUCGUGGCCCCACACACUGCUCAGUAACACGUAGUCAACCUACCCUUGGGACGGGGACAACCUCGGGAAACUGAGGCUAAUCCCCGAUAGGUGAGGGACGCUGGAAUGCCUCCUUGCCCAAAGCUCCGGCGCCCAAGGAUGGGACUGCGGUCUAUCAGGCUGUUGGUGGUGUAACGGACCACCAAACCUACGAUGGGUACGGGCGAUGGGAGUCGGAGCCCGGAGAUGGGGACUGAGACAAGGCCCCAGGCCCUACGGGGCGCAGCAGGCGCGAAAACUCCGCAAUGCGCGCAAGCGUGACGGGGGAAUCCCAAGUGCCGUUGGUCUUAUGAUCGACGGUUUUUAGGAAGUCUAAGAAGCUUCCAGAAUAAGGGCUGGGCAAGACUGGUGCCAGCCGCCGCGGUAACACCAGCAGCCCAAGUGGUGACCACGAUUAUUGGGCCUAAAGCGCUCGUAGCCGGAUCAGCAAGUCCCUUGUGAAAUCGGGCCGCCUAACGGUUCGGCGUGCAAGGGAUACUGUUGGUCUUGAGGCCGGGAGAGGUCGGAGGUACUCCUGGGGUAGCGGUGAAAUGCUCUAAUCCUAGGGGGACCACCAGUGGCGAAGGCGUCCGACCAGAACGGACCUGACGGUGAGGGGCGAAGGCUAGGGGAGCGAACGGGAUUAGAUACCCCGGUAGUCCUAGCUGUAAGGCAUGCGGGCCAGGUGUCUAGCGCUCCUUGAGGGCGCUAGGUGCCGGAGGGAAGCCGUUAAGCCCGCCGCCUGGGAAGUACGGC